GCAUCUGUGCAUGCAGCAUAUCAAUAAGCGGAGGAAAAGAAACUAACAAGGAUUCCCCUAGUAACGGCGAGUGAAGCGGGAAGAGCUCAAAUUUGAAAUCUUAAAGGGUUUCCCUUUACGAAUUGUAGUUUAAAGAAGUGUUUUCUGUUGAGGUUUUGGUAAAAGUUCUUUGGAAUAGGACAUCAUAGAGGGUGAGAAUCCCGUAUUUGACCUUUACUUUCAACUUUGUGAUACACUUUCAAAGAGUCGGAUUGUUUGGGAAUGCAGUCCAAAAUGGGUGGUAAAUUACAUCUAAAGCUAAAUAUUGGCGAGAGACCGAUAGCGAACAAGUACCGUGAGGGAAAGAUGAAAAGAACUUUGAAAAGAGAGUUAAACAGCUACGUGAAAUUGUCAAAAGGGAAGCGUUUGACACCAGUGUUGUUUUUCUGAAAAUCAAUUAAAGAACUGUUUAUGCUAAGUUGUUUAGACUUUAUCAGCUAUCUGUUUAGUUUUGAGCUUUUCUUUAAUGCACUUUUCAGUUAACAAGUCAACAUCAAUUUCUUUUGCUGUAAAAAAGCUUGAGGAAGGUGGCUUGAGAUUCGUCUUAAGUGUUUAUAGCCUCUUGCCUAUGCAGUCGGAGAGAUUGAGGUCUGCAGCGUCAGAUCCUUCGGGGCUAAAUGCAUUUGUGCUAAGUUAUAGCAUUUCAUAGACAACUUGCUGACUAUGAUUUGUCUUGUAGCUUACUCGCUUAUGUUAUUUUACCUACGCUUAGGAUGUUGACAGCAGUAUAGACUGU
rnacentral:rRNA from 1 species